UAGGGAAUCUUCCACAAUGGGCGAAAGCCUGAUGGAGCAACGCCGCGUGGGUGAAGAAGGUCUUCGGAUCGUAAAACCUGUUGUUAGAGAAGAAAGUGCGUGAGAGUAACUGUUCACGUUUCGACGGUAUCUAACCAGAAAGCCACGGCUAACUACGUGCC
rnacentral:rRNA from 1 species